UACGGAGGGAGCUAGCGUUAUUCGGAAUUACUGGGCGUAAAGCGCACGUAGGCGGCUUUGUAAGUCAGAGGUGAAAGCCUGGAGCUCAACUCCAGAACUGCCUUUGAGACUGCAUCGCUUGAAUCCAGGAGAGGUGAGUGGAAUUCCGAGUGUAGAGGUGAAAUUCGUAGAUAUUCGGAAGAACACCAGUGGCGAAGGCGGCUCACUGGACUGGUAUUGACGCUGAGGCGCGAAAGCCAGGGGAGCAAACGGG
rnacentral:rRNA from 1 species